rnacentral:misc_RNA from 1 species
UCUCCGUAGGUGAACCAGCGGAGGGAUCAUUACAGAGUUCGUGCCCUCACGGGUAGAUCUCCCACCCUGUGUUAUUAUACCUUAGUUGCUUUGGCGGGCCGCGCUCGGCUACCGGCCCCGGCUGGUACGCGCCCGCCAGAGGACCCCAAACUCUGAAUGUUACUGUCGUCUGAGUACUAUACAAUAUUUAAAACUUUCAACAACGGAUCCCUUGGUUCUG